CCUACGGGUGGCAGCAGUGGGGAAUAUUGGGCAAUGGGCGCAAGCCUGACCCAGCAACGCCGCGGGAAGGAAGAAGGCGUGCGGGUUGUAAACUUCGGUUAAGAGGGAAGAGCAGAAGACGGUACCUCUUGAAUAAGCCACGGCUAACUAAGUGCCAGCAGCCGCGGUAAUACGGAGGUGGCAAGCGUUGUCCGGAUUUACUGGGUGUAAAGGGCGUGUAGCCGGGCUGACAAGUCAGAUGUGAAAUCCGGGGGCUCAACCCCCGAACUGCAUUUUAAACUGUUGGUCUUGAGUAUCGGAGAGGCCGGCGGAAUUCCUAGUGUAGCGGUGAAAUGCGUAGAUAUUAGGAGGAACCCCAGUGGCGAAGGCGGCCUGCUGGACGACAACUGACGGUGAGGCGCGAAAGCGUGGGGAGCAAACAGGAUUAGAUACCCUAGUAGUC
rnacentral:rRNA from 1 species